rnacentral:rRNA from 13 species
AGGCUGAGCUGUGAUGGGGAGAAGACAUUGUGUCUUCGAGUCGUUGAUUUCACACUGCCGAGAAAAGCCUCUAGAUAGAAAAUAGGUGCCCGUACCGCAAACCGACACAGGUAGUCAAGAUGAGAAUUCUAAGGUGAGCGAGCGAACUCUCGUUAAGGAACUCGGCAAAAUGACCCCGUAACUUCGGGAGAAGGGGUGCUCUUUAGGGUUAACGCCCAGAAGAGCCGCAGUGAAUAGGCCCAAGCGACUGUUUAUCAAAAACACAGGUCUCUGCUAAACCGUAAGGUGAUGUAUAGGGGCUGACGCCUGCCCGGUGCUGGAAGGUUAAGAGGAGUGGUUAGCUUCUGCGAAGCUACGAAUCGAAGCCCCAGUAAACGGCGGCCGUAACUAUAACGGUCCUAAGGUAGCGAAAUUCCUUGUCGGGUAAGUUCCGACCCGCACGAAAGGCGUAACGAUUUGGGCACUGUCUCAACGAGAGACUCGGUGAAAUCAUAGUACCUGUGAAGAUGCAGGUUACCCGCGACAGGACGGAAAGACCCCGUGGAGCUUUACUGUAGCCUGAUAUUGAAAUUCGGCACAGCUUGUACAGGAUAGGUAGGAGCCUUUGAAACGUGAGCGCUAGCUUACGUGGAGGCGCUGGUGGGAUACUACCCUAGCUGUGUUGGCUUUCUAACCCGCACCACUUAUCGUGGUGGGAGACAGUGUCAGGCGGGCAGUUUGACUGGGGCGGUCGCCUCCUAAAAGGUAACGGAGGCGCUCAAAGGUUCCCUCAGAAUGGUUGGAAAUCAUUCAUAGAGUGUAAAGGCAUAAGGGAGCUUGACUGCGAGACCUACAAGUCGAGCAGGGUCGAAAGACGGACUUAGUGAUCCGGUGGUUCCGCAUGGAAGGGCCAUCGCUCAACGGAUAAAAGCUACCCCGGGGAUAACAGGCUUAUCUCCCCCAAGAGUUCACAUCGACGGGGAGGUUUGGCACCUCGAUGUCGGCUCAUCGCAUCCUGGGGCUGUAGUCGGUCCCAAGGGUUGGGCUGUUCGCCCAUUAAAGCGGUACGCGAGCUGGGUUCAGAACGUCGUGAGACAGUUCGGUCCCUAUCCGUCGUGGGCGUAGGAAAUUUGAGAGGAGCUGUCCUUAGUACGAGAGGACCGGGAUGGACAUACCUCUGGUGUACCAGUUGUCGUGCCAACGGCAUAGCUGGGUAGCUAUGUGUGGACGGGAUAAGUGCUGAAAGCAUCUAAGCAUGAAGCCCCCCUCAAGAUGAGAUUUCCCAACUUCGGUUAUAAGAUCCCUCAAAGAUGAUGAGGUUAAUAGGUUCGAGGUGGAAGCAUGGUGACAUGUGGAGCUGACGAAUACUAAUCGAUCGAAGACUUAAUCAA